rnacentral:rRNA from 1 species
AUGGUAGCAUCACGGCUUUUACCGCAAUACAUGCCGUGCCAUGCCUUUGGGCAAUUUUUCCAUGUCCAAUGCAUGCAAUCAAGACUACCUAGCAUCCCUGGCCAUCCCCUUUUUUCAUUGAUUUCCAUCAGUCUCUUUGUAUCUUCCUCGUUUGGUGCUCGAAGAUACUUCUCACCAUACAACUUGAUAACCAACUUUGCAAACCUACGGAGGACUCUGUGGUUGUAUCUUGUCCAAUGCGAAGAUACUCGUCGGUAUAGUCCGCGGGUAUGCCAUAGGCGAGUACCCGCAUUGCCGCCGAUAUCUUUUGGUAUGCACUAA